CCUACGGGAGGCAGCAGUCGAGAAUCAUGCACAAUGGGGGAAACCCUGAUGGAGCGACACCGCGUGGGGGAAUGAAGGUCUGCGGAUUGUAAACCCCUGUCAUGUGGGAGCAAAUUAAAAAGAUAGUACCACAAGAGGAAGAGACGGCUAACUCUGUGCCAGCAGCCGCGGUAAUACAGAGGUCUCAAGCGUUGUUCGGAAUCACUGGGCGUAAAGCGUGCGUAGGCUGUUUCGUAAGUCGUGUGUGAAAGGCGCGGGCUCAACCCGCGGACGGCACAUGAUACUGCGAGACUAGAGUAAUGGAGGGGGAACCGGAAUUCUCGGUGUAGCAGUGAAAUGCGUAGAUAUCGAGAGGAACACUCGUGGCGAAGGCGGGUUCCUGGACAUUAACUGACGCUGAGGCACGAAGGCCAGGGGAGCGAAAAGGAUUAGAUACCCGAGUAGUC
rnacentral:rRNA from 1 species